UGUGAUUCUGUGUUCUCUGAGGCAAAGCUCAUCACUAGCAGCAUCAUGCAGUUCUGACUAUUGUUUUAGUUUUUUAGAUGACAACUACCCUUAUUUUUGGGAAAUUUUGUAACUUGGAAGAUGAAUCCUUGGUCUGCAUCUCUUCUUUGUAGGUGUGUAUUGUCCGUGGAACUCAUGUCAGGGCCAUCUCUGGUGUGGUGUUAAAUCAAUACAUGCUGAAUGAUAUGCUGCACUGUUUCUGGUUCAAUGUUGGCUUGUACCUUGAGAUUGAAUAUGCUGCAUGGUUUCCACUUUUACAUACCAUGUGCGUGGGAUUUAUUGUUGAUUGGAGGGAAAUUUUUCUACUAGGUGGUUCAUGACAGAAGGCUUCCUAAUGCUGGACAGAUAGGAUUGGGAUAUGGAGACGUUGCACUCCAAGUACUCGACCAAAGUACUAACCAAAGGUGUUUUAGAGUUUGUGUUAUGAUCGACCAAAGUUCUGGAAUUGGAUGAAAGCUAAGUGCAAGAAUUUCAGUGCGUCCUUGUGUGAUUGGAUUUCAAAUCCAAGGAGUUGUUUGGACUACCUCUGAAUUCCUCCUUGAUUGAGCUCCUAUGCUGCACUGGAUGUCCCUGGUCUGGAAACUGAAAAAUCAGAUUUGUUUCAGGCUACUGUUAUCACUCUUUUUGAAGGUCUGUGUGUUUUUAUGGGGCAGUACCCUUGCUCUUCAGAUUUCUCAACCUAUCAAGGCUCCAAUGAUCUUUGUCCUUUGUGCAAUAGUAUGUGUUGUUAAGUGGCCUAUGAUGAAUAAAAGUAACUGUUGGAAAUAUAUUACAGUUGUAUUCCUGUCUUGUACAUAUAUAAACAUGCAUUGAAGUUUGCUGUGACUGUUACCAUGUUACAUAAGGUAAAAAAUCUAGAAUGUAAUUUUGAUUUUGGACUUCCAAUAUAUAAAUGUCACAAUUUCUGAUAACCAUUGCAUAUUUGGUUGACAUUAGUCUCUAAAGGUUCUUAAAUCCACUUUUCAAAACCAUGCUUCAAAUAAUUUUUUCUCCAAGCUUUGACCAUUCAGCUAAUUUUCCAUGUGGUUGAGGCCUAGAAAAGUAUUUAGCAUGUGAUCAACAGAGUUUAUCGAUGCAAGUUUUCAAAUUUACUGAUUAAGAAGAAAAAGUUGCUCUAUAAUAAAUUAGUGACUGAGUAUUAUUUUGUAUUCACUAUCGUGAAUACUAUUUUAUAGUGUUCCAAAACUUAUUGUAGAUCAUCAAUGCAUGAAAAUGAAAGGUGGCUGGAAGGAUGAUCUAUUGACUCUAUUUCAUAUUUUUGUUUGUCGUAGUAAUGCCUUCCAAUUAUUUUAGCUUGCAUAGGUUAAAAGUUGAGAUGGGAAUUAUGUCUAAAGUGAUUAAUUUAUGUCUGUAGCCUAAAUUUUGUAGAAGUUGGUGUUACUUGACACCUGGUUUCCCCUGUAAUUUUUUUUGUCUAUUUCUGCUUUCCACUUAUAUUCAUGUUCAUAUAAUGUUUUCCCACUUAUUGUUAAUGGUUUUUCAUGGGAAAGGUUGGACCAAAGGAUCAUCAGUGCUUUCAAGCUUCUUAAGCCACUAUAUUAAAGGCUCACAUGACUGCUCUAAAAAAGAAAGAAAGGAAGGACAAGAAGAAAUCUGCUGAGGCUGAUAAAAGAGAAGAGAGUCUUAAAAGCUAUGUUUGGAUUGAUGGAACAUAAUGGAGCGGAGCAGAAUGGAAUAUAAUGGAAUGGAAUGGAGCGGAGCGGAAUGGAAUAAAAAUUUCAUUCCAUUGUUUGGAUAUUUUAUGACGGAGCGGAACAAAGUUACCACUCUAUUGUUUGGAUAAUGGACGGAGCGGAAUGGGUUAUAAUUUUUGUUAUUCCUAUAUUACCCUUAUUUUAAAAUAAAAGACAAGCUGAGAAACCAAUUGAAAAUUGGUAGCCAAUAUUCAAUAUCUUAUAAUCUGGUGUGUCUAACAACUGGAACAUGAAUGCUCCUA